UGAGGAAUAUUGCGCAAUGGAGGAAACUCUGACGCAGCCAUGCCGCGUGCAGGAAGACGGUCUUAUGGAUUGUAAACUGCUUUUGUAUGCCAAGAAACCUUAGUACGUGUACUAAGCUGACGGUAGCAUACGAAUAAGGAUCGGCUAACUCCGUGCCAGCAGCCGCGGUAAUACGGAGGAUCCAAGCGUUAUCCGGAUUUAUUGGGUUUAAAGGGUCCGCAGGCGGAAAAUUAAGUCAGUGGUGAAAUCCUACAGCUUAACUGUAGAACUGCCAUUGAUACUGGUUUUCUUGAGUACAAAUGAGGUGAGUGGAAUGUGGCGUGUAGCGGUGAAAUGCAUAGAUAUGCCACAGAACACCAAUUGCGAAGGCAGCUCACUAACAUGUAACUGACGCUGAGGGACGAAAGCGUGGGGAGCGAACGGG
rnacentral:rRNA from 1 species